GACGAACGCUGGCGGCGUGCUUAACACAUGCAAGUCGAACGGAAAGGCCCUGCUUUUGUGGGGUGCUCGAGUGGCGAACGGGUGAGUAACACGUGAGUAACCUGCCCUUGACUUUGGGAUAACUUCAGGAAACUGGGGCUAAUACCGGAUAGGAGCUCCUGCUGCAUGGUGGGGGUUGGAUAGUUUCGGCGGUUGGGGAUGGACUCGCGGCUUAUCAGCUUGUUGGUGGGGUAGUGGCUUACCAAGGCUUUGACGGGUAGCCGGCCUGAGAGGGUGACCGGCGAAAAUGGGACUGAGAGAGGGCCCAGACUCCUACGGGAGGCAGCAGUGGGGAGUAUGGCACAAUGAGCGGAAGCCUGAUGCAGAGACGCCGGGUGCGGGAUGACGGCCUUCGGGUUGUAAACAGCUUUAGCCUGUGACGAAGCGUGAGUGACGGUAAUGGGUAAAGAAGCACCGGCUAACUACGUG
rnacentral:rRNA from 1 species